AAAUUUAGUAGCAACGUGUUUGCAGUGGGGGAAUAAGUGUCAUGUCGUCUCCAGCACUUCUCGGCUGACUUUAAACUCUUCUCUCUCCCUCUCUCCACCUCCUCUCUCUCUCUCUCUCUCUCUCUCUUUCUCUGUGUAAACUCGGAGCGCAGCGCGGACCUCUUUUUGUCCACAGUGACUGGACGGAGCGGGACACACGGGCAGACAGAGAGCGCGCAGUCCGCGCUGCCUCUCCACAGUUUGACAUCCACGUUGAGUUCAUCAGCGCUGGAGAUGACUCGGACCUGUCUGUGGACGACUGGGGUCAUUCUUCUUCUCGCUGGUGUUAUGGAGGUUGGUGUGUGGGCCAACGAUGGGGACGCAGUGUUCAUCAGAGAAUACACUCUGAUCCGACGAGACCACCUCCCCGAAGAGCCUCUCCACGACGGCAGCCAAAAACCAGAAGACCCGAGCUCGCGAACGGCCCGAUCGGAAGAGGACAGAGACACGCUGUGGGAUGCUUGGGGCUCGUGGAGUGAAUGCUCUCGUACCUGUGGAGGAGGAGCUUCAUACUCUCUCAGGCGAUGCCUCAGCUCCAGGACCUGUGAAGGACAGAAUAUCAAAUAUCGCACAUGCAGUAAUGUGGACUGCCCUCCAGAUGCCGGUGAUUUCCGCGCCCAACAGUGUUCAGCUCAUGCAGAUGUGCGAUACCAGGGUCAGUACCAUGAGUGGCUGCCUGUGUACAACGAUCCCGACAACCCCUGCGCACUCAAAUGCAAAGCAAAGGGUUCCGGUCUCGUGGUGGAGCUGGCGCCCAAGGUGCUGGAUGGGACUCGCUGUUACACCGAGUCUUUAGACAUGUGCAUCAGUGGAGUCUGUCAGAUUGUCGGUUGCGAUCAUGAGCUGGGGAGCACAUCAAAAGAGGACAACUGUGGCGUCUGCAAUGGAGACGGCUCAUCCUGUCGACUUGUGCGAGGACACUACAAAUCCCAGCAUGCUUCAGGAAAAGCUGAGGAUACUGUUGUCGUCAUUCCCUAUAAGAGUCGUCAUGUUCGUCUAGUCCUGAAAGGCCCGGAUCACUUGUAUGUGGAGAGUAAGACUCUACAAGGGGUGAAAGGGGAAUUAGUCUUAGACACGUCAGGCCAGUACCUCUUGGAGAACACCACCUUGGACUACCAGCAACUUUCUGAUAAGGAGGUCCUGAGAAUCACUGGCCCACUUGGAGCAGACUUCACUGUCAAAGUAAGAACUUAUGUUAAGCAUUACAGUGUUGUCCAGUACAUCUAUUAUCAGCCAAUCAUCCACCGCUGGAGAGAAACGGACUUCUUCCCUUGUUCUGUCACAUGUGGUGGAGGUUACCAGCUGACCUCCGCAGAGUGCUUUGACCUUCGGAGUGGUCGAGUUGUUGUAGAUCAGUAUUGCCACUAUUACCCAGAAAACGUCAAACCUAAACCCAAACUGCAGGAGUGCAACAUGGAGCCCUGUCUGGCCGGUGAUGGCUACAAACAAAUUAUGCCGUAUGACCUCUACCACCCGCUGCCUCGAUGGGAGAGCAGUCCCUGGACGGCCUGCUCCAUGUCCUGCGGCGGGGGAAUCCAAAGUCGCUCGGUGUCUUGUGUGGAGGAAGACAUGCAGGGAACCAUUACUCCCACUGAGGAGUGGAAGUGCCUGUACUCUCCAAGGACGGCUAUCCUGCAGCCCUGCAACACCUUCGACUGCCCGACUUGGCUGGCACAGGAGUGGUCACCAUGCACAGUGACCUGUGGUCAGGGGUUGCGCUACAGGGUGGUGUUAUGUAUCGAUCACAGGGGACUCCAUGCUGGAGGCUGCAACCCCACCACCAAACCCCACAUCAAGGAGGAGUGUCUGGUGACUGUGCCCUGCUACAAGUCCAUAGAUUCACUCCCAGUUGAGGCAAAACCUGUGUGGCAUAAGCAGGCCAUAGAGCUGGAAGAGGAAGUCACAGUGACCGAGGAGCCGACCUUCAUUCCAGGGCCCUGGCAGCCCUGCAGCCGAACAUGCGGCGCUGGAACCCAGCAACGAACUGUCAAGUGCCAGGUGCUGCUCUCCUUCUCCCAGACUGUUGCUGACCUGCCCGACGACGAGUGUGAGGGGGUCAAACCUGCAACAAGUCAGCCCUGCUACCGUACUCCCUGCUCUGGCGUUUUGGCCCAAGGAAAUGGAAAUGAAAACGAAAACGAAGGGGAGACACCUGAAAGAGAGGAACUGCACGACUGGGAGUACGAGGGGUUCACGGAGUGCUCAGAGAGUUGUGGGGGAGGUGUACAAGAGGCUGUAGUCAUCUGCCUGAACAAGCAGACCAGGGAGGCAGCAGACCAGAGCCUGUGUGUGAGCUCCCGUCGGCCUCCACAACUCCUCCAGGACUGCAAAACUCAGCCCUGCCCGCCCAGGUACGUGUGGGAAACAGGUGACUGGAGUUCAUGCUCUGCUACCUGCGGGGUUGGUCUGAGGACCCGCACCGUGGCUUGUACUCACCGACCUUCUAGGGACAGCAACCGAACUGAGGUUUUGAGGGUUGAAGAAUGUCAAAAUCCCAAGCCCAGCCCUUUCCAAGCUUGCAACCGAUUUGACUGCCCUCCCACGUGGGAAACACGGGACUGGGACCAGUGCUCCCAGAGCUGUGGUGGUGGAGUUCAAAAGAGGCAAGUCCUGUGCAAACAACGGUUGGCAGAUGGCAGCAUCCUGGAGCUGCCUGACACCUUCUGCUCUUCCAAGAUCCCUGCAAACCAGCAGCCCUGUGCCAAGCAGGAGUGCCCGCCGCAAUGGGUCACAACCAACUGGUCUGAGUGUUCAGUGACGUGUGGAAGCGGCAUUCAGAGACGUCAGACAGUUUGCAGAAAACAAGGCGACGAUCAGGCUGUAGACUCUAACAACUGUUCCCUGAAGGCCCAGCCAGUCAAAAUUCGUCCAUGCUCCCUCAGACUCUGUGACAGUAAGAGACCCCCUUUUUGGCUCUAUUGGCUUCAUUUUACACCUGAUCCUAGAAUACUGGCUCAGAGGAAGGUUUAUAUCCAGUGGAAGAAAAGCAAAAAGUUGCAGCUGGUAGUCGGAGGUUAUGCCUACCUCAUGCCUUGGACAACUGUGGUCCUUCGCUGCCCUACUCGCCACUUCCGAAAGGGCCACAUCCGGUGGUUGAAGGAAGGGAAGCCCUUGGUCGGCCUCCCACACCUCUCCGCAUCACUUGGAUCUGUAAAGAUUCAGCAGGUUCGUGCAUCUGAUGCCGGGGUGUACACGUGCGUUGCCGGCUGGGCGCGGGAACACCUGGUCCUACACAUUAUCGGCAGCAAGCAGAAACUCUCGGCUCCAGAUUCACGGCUCCUCAAAGGUGGACAACAAAACACUGGACGGGCAGGUGUGGCUCCGACGGGAGAAGGAUUUCAAGAGCUACCCAUCUCCCUCAACCAGUAUGACAAAAUUGUUGAGAAUUUGCUUGAACUCAAAGACUCUGCCCAAGAUGACAAAGACAUUAAUGACAAACCUCACUCCAGCGAAAAGAACAGGUCAAGCCUGGAGGGUGGGAGGGCCAAUGUAGAACUUUCCACUCCAGUUGUGCUUGUUGCUGAUACCCACAGGCUUGAUGAGCUCAUGCACAGCCUCUCCGAAGGCCUCAGAGGGCGACGGGGGGAACACCUCAUUGCUCAGUUGCUCAGCGAGCUCCUUAUGACACAAGGUGAAACCAACGAGUCCACUCUUCAUCCUCCAGAAAGUGCAGAAUCUUCCACACAAGGGCCUCUUCUUUAUAAACCAAGCGUCAAAGCUCAUGGAUCGAGGCCAAGAAACCCAAUAAUGGUCCAACACCCCAGGAAGGUUGGAGUGUUGCCAUCAUCUGAAAUGGUAGUACAAGUGGGGUUGCCAGCUUCGCUGCAGAAACCAGUUGCGAGUUUGGAGCUGAGAUGUGAGGCAGUGGGGAACCCUGAACCGUCACUGACCUGGACAAAGAACGGAAAAGAGUUGCAGUUUAACAUCUGCAUAAAAUAUUGCUCUGUGACAGAACUGCCUCCGAUUCAGUGCUCCCUUUGCUUUUGUGUUGGCAGAGUAGGCCUGUUGCCCACUGGCUCACUGAGGAUUCGGGCACCAAACAAAGCGGACGAGGGUUUGUACACCUGCACUGCCAGGAAUCGAUAUGGAUCGACGUCUCUUUCGUCUUGGCUGCAGAUUGCAGGUAAAGUCGAUGAACGCAGAAGCUCAAUAGUUAUUGUUUUUUGUUUGUUUUUUUGUGGAUGGAUCAGGUGGCGAGCAGACUUUUGGUCACCGUGUUCAGCCACUUGUGGAGGUGGUUCACAGACCAGGAGUGUCCGCUGCAUUAAAGGUCCAGAGGGCAGAUCGACAGAGGUGGAGAGCCGGCACUGUCGCGACGCAGGCCGGAGACCCUCUGACUCAAGGCUAUGCAACCUUCUGCCCUGUGCCAGAUGGGCCACCACCUCCUGGGGGCCGGUGACCAGCUGUCAGCAUUACGUCUUACAUGUAUGUGUGUUUUUACACUGCAGGCCCAGCUCACUGAAGAAUUGCUCCACAGUGGCCUGUGCGCUCCAUUGGCGUGCGGGUCCAUGGACGCAGUGCACCGCCACAUGUGGGCGCCAUGGUUUCCAGUCACGCCAGGUGACCUGUUUGCACCGUCGAACUGGCAGGACCGCACGUGAACAUCACUGCAUGUGGAGACCUCGCCCUCCAAGCUGGCAGCGAUGCAAUAUCCUGUCCUGUGGCAGAGAGUGCAGAGACAGCACGAGGUACUGCGAGAGGGUUCGACAGCUGGAGCUCUGCCCGCUGCCCCAAUUUAAGAGCCGUUGCUGUCAGUCCUGCCGAAACACCUGA
ensembl:lncRNA